rnacentral:rRNA from 1 species
CCUACGGGAGGCAGCAGUGAGGAAUAUUGGUCAAUGGGCGCGAGCCUGAACCAGCCAAGUCGCGUGAAGGAUGACUGCCCUACGGGUUGUAAACUUCUUUUAUAAAGGACUAAAGUGAGGCACGUGUGCCUUUUUGUAUGUACUUUAUGAAUAAGGCUCGGCUAAAUACGUGCCAGCAGCCGCGGUAAUACGGAGGAUCCGGGCGUUAUCCGGAUUUCUUGGGGUUAAAGGGAGCGUAGAUGGGUUGUUAAGUUAGUUGUGAAAGUUUGCGGCUCAACCGUAAAAUUGCAAUUGAUAAUGGCAUUCUUGAGUACAGUUGAGGUAGGCGGAAUGCGUGGUGUAGCGGUGAAAUGCUUAGAUAUCACGAAGAACUCCGAUUGCGAAGGCAGCUUACUAAACUGCCACUGACAUUGAUGCUCGAAAGUGUGGGUAUCAAACAGGAUUAGAUACCCCUGUAGUC